rnacentral:lncRNA from 1 species
GGAGGAGGAAAGUUGUCAAUUGCUUGGCUGGAAUCCACCUUUUGCAGACUUUUAUCACUUGUAAUAUCUGGAAGAUCUUCAUAAUUAGUCAUUUCUAAUUAUUUUUCUAUCUUUCUUUGUUGUAUUUUUUUGGAGUUUUCUUAUUUUUUUAGAAUUUCUAAUUCUAAAUCUUUGUGUACAAUGUUGGUAUCACUCUCAAAAUAUUUGACAAUUAUUUUUUGAUCAACAACCACCAGAGGGAGCUUUUACCUUUCUUUACUUUUUCAACUUAGAUAACUAUGUUGUUCUACUGUAAUAUUUCUACCACAGAUUUUAUUAUAUUUCUAUGGUUAGAUGAUAUUGUGAAACCAUUAUAUUACCAUUUAUUUAUUUUAUAUACAUACACGUGUGUGUGUGUGUGUAUAUGUAUUUGUACACAUUUUUUUCUCAUUCCUCUUUCUACUCUAUGGUCCCUUUCAGGUAAACCCUCUGUACAGAGAAGACAGCUAGAACAUUCCCAGAUUCGUAUGUUAGAUUUUGAAUCAUCAGUUCACAUCAACAGGUGGCAACUCACCUCUUCUUCAAGAAAUUACUCCUUUGUAACUCCUAGGCAGUUGGUAAGGAGAAAGAAUAUUUAACUCUGACUGUUUUGUCUUCUUCAUCCACUGAAUCAUAUUUUGCUCUACCAAAUAUUGCAUGAAUUCCAUUGUUAAGUCUUGUUUUUUGAUAUUCUUGAUAGUCCCAGGAAAACUACCAGUGUUUCCUGUAACAGUCUGUUUAAAACUAAGUAAUUAGUUCAAAGUAUGUUAUUCAGCUUCAAAAAGCAGCAUUAGAAAUGUUCAGGGGAAAAAAUCAUCUAGAUCAUUAAAAAGUCAUGUACAUUUACACUUGCUGCAUCAAAAUCCCUGAUUCUCUCUUUUUAUAAUUCUUGUCUUCACACCAGAUAAAAUCAUAGAUCCUAAAAUCUGAAUGUUUUCAAGAAAUCCAUUUAUGUAUUGACAAAGUUAAGGUUUUACCUUUACCACUAUGUCAUACUCUCCUGAAAUGCCAAUGUAGUUUUGAUUAAGCAGGUCUUAUUUCAAGUGAUGUUCACACUUGUCACAUGCACUAACAGGAAGUUGCAUCCUGGUUUCAGAGUAAAGCUGCCUCUUACACAUAAAUGGUUAUGAAACACACCUUAAAAGCAAAUAAAAAUGAAUGGUGAGGAAAGCUGAAGGUCA